UAUUCUGCCCCAUGGGGAAGGAUGAGAAGCUUCGACUAAGGUUCGACACGAGCGAAGCGAGAGAACGUUGCCGCAGGCAACGGCCCGAAGGGCGAGGCGCUUUAGCGCCGAGUAAUCCUUCCCCCACCACCA
rnacentral:sRNA from 1 species